rnacentral:rRNA from 1 species
AUACGGAGGAUCCGAGCGUUAUCCGGAUUUAUUGGGUUUAAAGGGUGCGCAGGCGGGAGAUUAAGUCGGCGGUGAAAUUUUGCAGCUCAACUGUAAAAGUGCCUUCGAAACUGGCUUCCUUGAGUGUAGAUGGAGUAGGCGGAAUUUGUGGUGUAGCGGUGAAAUGCAUAGAUAUCACGAGGAACUCCGAUUGCGCAAGCAGCUUACUAAACUACGACUGACGCUCAGGCACGCAGGCGUGGGGAUCAAACAGGAUUAGAUGCCCUGGUAGUCCACGCAGUAAACGAUGAUUACUAGCUGUUUGCGAUACAAUGUAAGCGGCUGAGCGAAAGCGUUAAGUAAUCCACCUGGGGAGUACGUUCGCAAGGAUGAAGCUCAAAGGAAUUGACGGGG